AUUACAACAGAAACUUAGUGCACACUGGAUGACAUACAUACAAAGCAACCAUUUCUGUAUUUGGAUAUCUUAUCCUAAUACUUGUUUCAUCUGCUAAAUUCCUUUUACAAAUAAAGCACUAACAAUGUGAACAAAAUAAGUAAAUCACUUCUAAGAUAUAAGAUAUAAUGAGGAUGCAGUACGGAGAAUAUCCACCAGCUUGUGAUGUAUAUUUGUUACCUACUGCAGAGGAAUUUGCAGCUCAUCCACUACCCUCUUGAGCUGCUACCAACACUACCACGAUGUGUCUGGAUAUUCUGGGCUGGCUGCAAGACCAAGAGUAAGGAUUGUAAUCAAGUGUUGGACUCGUAAGCACAGUGAAGAUAUACCUGUGAGCUGCUAAAAUGCGAUAUGAAGAUAUGCUUAUUUCAAAUCUAUGGGGGACAGAGAGUCCUCUUUGUUGAUAGUUGCUUGUGUUGACCUGAAAGUCUCAAUCAUAAAGAUGCAUCUUCACAUAGCUUAAAUGGUUCAUGUCUAAUGUUACUAUCCACCACAUGUAAGCAUUUUUCCACAGGACAAAGAUUCCUCUAACAGAGUUACUUAGGUUAUUAUGCCUUAAAGAUAUACCAAUUGUUUUUACCUCUUCCACAAUAACAUCCACAAGCAGGAAAACUAUUUCAAGUGUCAGACACAUUUUAAAAGCGCCAUCACUACCUAACUCAUAUACAGCAGAGUAGGUCAAUCUUAAUUUCUUCUCUCUUUUCCUUGUUACCUUUAAAGAAAGUCUAUAAGAGAAUCCCUGCUGCUGGGGGAGUGGAAGGGGGUGGAAAUCUCACUGUCAAAGUUAUUAUAUAGUACAGGCAGUGAUAAGGGACUUUUUCAAUUGGUGAUGGGAGUGACCAAAGUAGGGAAAUGCAGGUGAAGUACAUAUAGGAUAUACAUAUUCCUAAUUAUGAUAUAGAAUACUCACCAUAUUUUACAUCUGGAACUGUUACAGAACUCUCAGCCAUAUUUGUAGACAGAAUAAUCUAGUUGAAGUCCAAAAAGAGAAAAAAAUAUGCAAAGAAAAGUUCAUCCAUCUAUAUUAAUAUAUGUACUUAUAUAACUUUCCUUGGCGGGUAGGAAAAAUUGUGAAUGAAAUAGAAAUAUUAUAUUUGUGUUUUGUGCUCUCUGCUAUUUUCCAAAGUCAUUUUCAUCAGUAUUGUGUCUAGACAAUAAAAGGUGUCACAGCACUUUGAUUUUAUUUUUCUGGUGCUUAAAAAAAAUAAACCAAAGAGUGCUAUAGUAAAAUAAAGUUUUGGAAAUAGUUGUUGUAACUUCA